GAAUAGGAUUACUUUUCAGGUGCCCGCAAGGGAGAAUAGGGAAUCAGGUGUAAAUCCUGAGCGGUCCCGCCACUGUAAACAGGGACGAACCCGAAGGAGCCACUCGGUUGGCCCACCAGCCGGGGAAGGUUCGGGGGAGAAUGAGCUGUGAGCCAGGAGACCUGCCUGAAAGGUUUAUGCCGC
rnacentral:ncRNA from 2 species